GCAGUGGAACAUUGGCGCCGUUUUCAAACUUCAGAGCCUCAGUGACUGGAACUCUUGUAACAGCUACAUUAUUCCUCAUUAUGAUUUUUUUUCUUUCAUUACUUAACUAUUAUUUUAUAAACAUUGGGAACUGGAAGAGUAUUUUCAUGAAAGGUGCAGGAGACAGACUACACUGGAAGAGGGGAGUCCGGCGGGUUACUUUGGGAAUACCAGGCACCUUUUUCUCUCCCCUGUUGCCUAACAUGCUGGAGAACGGGGAUCGAGGAAAGAAGAGAAGCGAUCUGUUCACAUUGCAUUCUCAUCCAAUUUCGAUCUGUCUUUAUUUAUUUAUUUGGAUAACUUGGCACUAAAUAUCCAUAAGACAUUUCUAUAUUACAUGUAA